AUUGCAGAAUUCAGUGAAUCAUCGAAUCUUUGAACGCAUCUUGCGCUCCUUGGUAUUCUGAGGAGCAUGCCUGUUUGAGGGUCAUUA
rnacentral:rRNA from 1 species